rnacentral:rRNA from 1 species
GACGAACGCUGGCGGCGUGCUUAACACAUGCAAGUCGAACGGAAAGGCCCUGCUUUUGUGGGGUGCUCGAGUGGCGAACGGGUGAGUAACACGUGAGUAACCUGCCCUUGACUUUGGGAUAACUUCAGGAAACUGGGGCUAAUACCGGAUAGGAGCUCCUGCUGCAUGGUGGGGGUUGGAAAGUUUCGGCGGUUGGGGAUGGACUCGCGGCUUAUCAGCUUGUUGGUGGGGUAGUGGCUUACCAAGGCUUUGACGGGUAGCCGGCCUGAGAGGGUGACCGGCCACAUUGGGACUGAGAUGCGGCCCAGACUCCUACGGGAGGCAUCAGUGGGGAAUAGUGCAGAAUGGGCGGAAGCCUGAUGCAGCAACGCCGCGUGCGGGAUGACGGCCUUCGGGUUGUAAACCGCUUUCGCCUGUGACGAAGCGGGAGUGACGGUAAUGGGUAAAGAAGCACCGGCUAACUACGUG